rnacentral:rRNA from 1 species
AUACGGAGGACGCGAGCGUUAUCCGGAUUCAUUGGGUUUAAAGGGAGCGUAGGCGGGAGCUUAAGUCAGCGGUUAAAUGGUGCGGCUCAACCGUGCCCUGCCGUUGAAACUGGGUUUCUUGAGAGUGCAAGAGGCGGAUGGAAUUCAUGGUGUAGCGGGGAAAUGCUUAGAUAUCAUGAAGAACUCCGAUUGCGAAGGCAGUCCGCUGGGGCACGUCUGACGCUGAUGCUCGAAGGUGCGGGAAUCAAACAGGAUUAGAUACCCUGGUAGUCCGCACGGUAAACGAUGAUUACCCGCUGUCGGCGGCAGACAGUCGGCGGCCAAGCGAAAGCGAUAAGUAAUCCACCUGGGGAGUACGCCGGCAACGGUGAAACUCAAAGGAAUUGGCGGGG